rnacentral:pre_miRNA from 1 species
AUCCUCCGGAUAAAUGUCAAACAAAACCCAAAAAAGAAAUGUAAGCAUUUCUUUGCAUCUCUCUUUUUUGGGUUUUUGUUUGAGAAUUAUGCGGAGGAUGU